AUAUAUAUUAUUACAUAUAAUUAAAAUAUUAUUAUAUAUAAUUAUAUAUAUUUAUAAAUAUUUUUAAUAUUUUUAAUUAUAUUUGAGUUUUUCAAGCUUAAUUUGAGCGAAACUAGUAAUACACAAGCUCGGCUUGAAAUAAAUUUUGAAUUUUUUUUUAUCUGGUAAAGCUCGGUUUAUUUAAUUUCGAGUCAAACUCGAGCGAGCUA
rnacentral:lncRNA from 1 species